AUUGAACGCUGGCGGCAGGCCUAACACAUGCAAGUCGAACGGAAAGAGGAAGAGGCUUGCUUCUUUGCUGUCGAGUGGCGGACGGGUGAGACAUGUCUGGGACACUGCCAGAUGGCUGGGGUUAAUUACUGGAAACGGUAGCUAAAACCGCAUAUCGUCGCAAGCGCAUAAAGCGGGAGCUUCAGGCCUCUUGCCUUUGGCUUAUACAUGGAGGCGCACGGGAUUAGCUAGUUGGUGAGGUAACGGCUCACCUAGGCGACGAUCCCUAGCCGAUCUGAGAGGAUGACCAGCCACACUGGAACUGAGACACGGUCCAGACUCCUACGGGAGGCAGCAGUAGGGAAUAUUGCACAAAGGGCGCAAGCCUGAUGCAGCCAUGCCGCGUGUAUGAAGAAGGCCUUCGGGUUGUAAAGUACUGUCAGCGGGGAAGAAGAGAUGAGUAUGAAUACGUGUACUCAUUGACGGUACCCGCAGAAGAAGCACCGGCUAACUACGUG
rnacentral:rRNA from 1 species